UGACGGAGCAAUACCGCGUGAGGGAAGACUGCCUAUGGGUUGUAAACCUCUUUUUUCAGGGAGGAAUAAAAUGACGUGUACCUGAAGAAUAAGCAUCGGCUAACUCCGUGCCAGCANCCGCGGUAAGACGGAGGAUGCAAGUGUUAUCCGGAAUCACUGGGCGUAAAGCGUCUGUAGGUGGUUUAAUAAGUCAACUGUUAAAUCUUGAGGCUUAACUUCAAAAUCGCAGUCGAAACUAUUAGACUAGAGUAUAGUAGAGGUAAAGGGAAUUUCCAGUGGAGCGGUGAAAUGCGUAGAUAUUGGAAAGAACACCGAUGGCGAAAGCACUUUACUGGGCUAUUACUAACACUCAGAGACGAAAGCUAGGGUAGCAAAUGGGAUUAGAUACCCCAGUAGUCCUAGCCGUAAACGAUGGAUACUAGAUGUUGAACAGAUCGACCUGUGCAGUAUCAAAGCUAACGCGUUAAGUAUCCCGCCUGGGAAGUAUGCUCGCAAGAGUGAAACUCAAUGGAAUUGACGG
rnacentral:rRNA from 1 species